AACGAACGCUGGCGGCAUGCCUAACACAUGCAAGUCGAACGAGACCUUCGGGUCUAGUGGCGCACGGGUGCGUAACGCGUGGGAACCUGACCUUAGGUUCGGAAUAACUCUCCGAAAGGGGUGCUAAUACCGGACAAUGUCUUCGGACCAAAGAUUUAUCGCAUUUGGAUGGGCCCGCGUUGGAUUAGCUAGUUGGUAGGGUAAAAGCCUACCAAGGCGACGAUCAAUAGCUGGGUUGAGAGGAUGAUCCGCCACACUGGGACUGAGACGCGGCCCGGACUCCUACGGGAAGCAGCAGUGGGGAAUAUUGGACAGUGGGCGAAAGCCUGAUCCAGCAAUGACGCGUGAGUGAUGAAGGCCUUAGAGUUGUAAAGCUCUUUUACCCGGGAUGAUAAUGACAGUACCGAGAGAAUAAGCUCCGGCUAACUCCGUG
rnacentral:rRNA from 1 species